CCUACGUGAGGUAGCAGUGGGGAAUAUUGCGCAAUGGGCGAAAGCCUGACGCAGCGACGCCGCGUGAGGGAUGAAGGUCUUCGGAUCGUAAACCUCUGUCAGCAGGGAAGAACGGUCACUGUGCUAAUCAGCAGUGAAUUGACGGUACCUGCAAAGGAAGCACCGGCUAACUCCGUGCCAGCAGCCGCGGUAAUACGGAGGGUGCGAGCGGUAAUCGGAAUUACUGGGCGUAAAGCGCUCGUAGGCGGUAUGUCAAGUCAAGUGUGAAAUCCCCGCGCUCAACGUGGGAACUGCCUUUGAAACUGGCAAACUGGAGUGUGUGAGAGGAUAGUGGAAUUCCAGGUGUAGGAGUGAAAUCCGUAGAUAUCUGGAGGAACAUCAGUGGCGAAGGCGACUAUCUGGCACAUAACUGACGCUGAGGAGCGAAAGCGUGGGUAGCAAACAGGAUUAGAUACCCUUGUAGUC
rnacentral:rRNA from 1 species